UUGUAUCUUGGGUGUUCUAUGUUUCUGGG
rnacentral:piRNA from 1 species